rnacentral:rRNA from 1 species
GGGCCCGCACAAGCGGUGGAGUAUGUGGUUUAAUUCGAUGCAACGCGAAGAACCUUACCAGGGUUUGACAUCCUGCGAAUUUCUGGGAAACCGGAAAGUGCCUUCGGGAGCGCAGUGACAGGUGGUGCAUGGCUGUCGUCAGCUCGUGUCGUGAGAUGUUGGGUUAAGUCCCGCAACGAGCGCAACCCACGUCUUUAGUUGCCAGCAUUUAGUUGGGCACUCUAGAGAGACCGCCGGUGAUAAACCGGAGAAGGUGUGGAUGACGUCAAGUCAUCAUGGCCCUUACGGGUUGGGCUACACACGUGCUACAAUGGUAGUGACAUGGGUUAAUCCCCAAAAAGCUAUCUCAGUUCGGAUUGGUCGUCUGCA